UGGGGAAUUUUGGACAAUGGGCGAAAGCCUGAUCCAGCAAUGCCGCGUGUGUGAAGAAGGCCUUCGGGCUGUAAAGCACUUUUGUCCGGAAAGAAAUCCUUGGCUCUAAUACAGUCGGGGGAUGACGGUACCGGAAGAAUAAGCACCGGCUAACUACGUGCCAGCAGCCGCGGUAAUACGUAGGGUGCAAGCGUUAAUCGGAAUUACUGGGCGUAAAGCGUGCGCAGGCGGUUUGCUAAGACCGAUGUGAAAUCCCCGGGCUCAACCUGGGAACUGCAUUGGUGACUGGCAGGCUAGAGUAUGGCAGAGGGGGGUAGAAUUCCACGUGUAGCAGUGAAAUGCGUAGAGAUGUGGAGGAAUACCGAUGGCGAAGGCAGCCCCCUGGGCCAAUACUGACGCUCAUGCACGAAAGCGUGGGGAGCAAACAGGAUUAGAUACCCUGGUAGUCCACGCCCUAAACGAUGUCAACUAGUUGUUGGGGAUUCAUUUCCUUAGUAACGUAGCUAACGCGUGAAGUUGACCGCCUGGGGAGUACGGUCGCAAGAUUAAAACUCAAAUGAAUUGACGGGGUCAUAGCUGUUUCCU
rnacentral:rRNA from 1 species